rnacentral:rRNA from 1 species
AUUGAACGCUGGCGGCAUGCUUUACACAUGCAAGUCGAACGGCAGCACGGGCUUCGGCCUGGUGGCGAGUGGCGAACGGGUGAGUAAUAUAUCGGAACGUACCCAGAAGUGGGGGAUAACGUAGCGAAAGUUACGCUAAUACCGCAUACGAUCUAUGGAUGAAAGCAGGGGACCGCAAGGCCUUGUGCUCCUGGAGCGGCCGAUAUCUGAUUAGCUAGUUGGUGAGGUAAAGGCUCACCAAGGCGACGAUCAGUAGCUGGUCUGAGAGGACGACCAGCCACACUGGAACUGAGACACGGUCCAGACUCCUACGGGAGGCAGCAGUGGGGAAUUUUGGACAAUGGGCGCAAGCCUGAUCCAGCAAUGCCGCGUGAGUGAAGAAGGCCUUCGGGUUGUAAAGCUCUUUUGUCAGGGAAGAAACGGUAGAGGCUAAUAUCCUUUGCUAAUGACGGUACCCGAAGAAUAAGCACCGGCUAACUACGUG